UACGGGGGGUGCGAGCGUUGUCCGGAAUUACUGGGCGUAAAGCGCGUGUAGGCGGCCUAUUAUGUCAGGUGUGAAAGCCCUCGGCCUAACCGAGGAAGUGCGCCUGAAACUGCUAGGCUUGAGUACGAGAGAGGAGGACGGAAUUCCCAGUGUAGAGGUGAAAUUCGUAGAUAUUGGGAGGAACACCGGUGGCGAAAGCGGUUCUCUGGAUCGAUACUGACGCUGAGACGCGAAAGCGUGGGGAGCAAACAGG
rnacentral:rRNA from 1 species